CUGUGGGUCUCUAUGGGUCCCUACGGGUCGCUAUGGGUCUCUAUGGGUUCCUAUGGGGUCUCUAUGGGUCUCUGUGGGUCUCUAUGGGUCCCCAUGUGUCUCUAUGGGUCUUUAUGGGAUCUAUGGGUCUCUAUGGGUCCCUAUGGGGCACUGUGGGUCUCUAUGGGUCUCUAUGGGGUCUCUAUGGGGUCUCUGUGGGUCUCUAUGGGGCACUGUGGGUCUCUAUGGGGCUCUGUGGGUUCCCUGCGUGUCUCUGUGGGGCUCUGUGGGGCUCUAUGGGGUUCCUAUGGGUCGCUAUGGGGCGGAACCCCACUUCUUCCACCCCCCCCCACGCUCCUCCAUCCCCUUUCUUUCCCCUCACUCCUCCGAAACACCACCGAGCCGGUCCUCCACCGCGCUUAGAACGUCGAGGAAGAGACAGACCGGAAGCCGCUCUACCCACAGCGGGGAGCGGCGCGCCGCGUGACGUCACGUCCGGCCCGGAGCUGUGAGGACGUCCAAGAUGGCGCUUCCCGCCGUCCUCCUGCGCGCGGCGGGUACGGAACGGUCGGGGGGGGUUCCGGGAG
rnacentral:lncRNA from 1 species